UGUACAAUACAGACCUAGUGGAGAGAUGAGCCAAUUUUGUGAUUAUCUGACAACCUGCUCGGGUGAAUUGUCCCCUUUUCUGCCACCCAUUUUUUCAGUGGUCAAAAAUGGCUUUCAAUAGCUGGUCUUGACUAGUUGUGAUGCAUUGUUUUGAUCGGCGACGACGACACACUUUUCCUAGCCAGCUUUUAUAAGUUAUUCAUAACGUUCUGUCGGUUCUGUCCGUUGAUUGUCGACUGUCAACCUUUCUGGGUGACCAGGAACACAUCUGGUGGAAUUCAUUUUCAUGUCUUGGUCAAGAUUAGGCAGGAGUGGUUCCUGGCCAAAUCGCAAGAUUUCACCCAUUUAGAGCAUGUUGGAUCGCUGGUAGCUUCUCAACUCCAGUCAAAUCCAGGAACAAAAUAUAACCCACAAUGCUACAAAAACAACUCUAUCCAUCCACCAAUCUUGAGAACUCGAAUUGCACAGAAUGGAGAUCCACCGAAAGGCGGACUGAGCCUGGGAAGGAGAUCAUCCAUUUUCAUCAAUCUUACUAAUCUGACCACUAAUCAAUCACUUCGUCACUUGCUGGGGCCAGAAAAUUUCGCACAGGAAUGACAAAUCCGUG